GAUGAACGCUGGCGGCGUGCCUAAUACAUGCAAGUCGAGCGAACAGACGAGGAGCUUGCUCCUCUGACGUUAGCGGCGGACGGGUGAGUAACACGUGGAUAACCUACCUAUAAGACUGGGAUAACUUCGGGAAACCGGAGCUAAUACCGGAUAAUAUAUUGAACCGCAUGGUUCAAUAGUGAAAGACGGUUUUGCUGUCACUUAUAGAUGGAUCCGCGCCGCAUUAGCUAGUUGGUAAGGUAACAGCUUACCAAGGCGACGAUGCGUAGCCGACCUGAGAGGGUGAUCGGCCACACUGGAACUGAGACACGGUCCAGACUCCUACGGGAGGCAGCAGUAGGGAAUCUUCCGCAAUGGGCGAAAGCCUGACGGAGCAACGCCGCGUGAGUGAUGAAGGUCUUCGGAUCGUAAAACUCUGUUAUUAGGGAAGAACAAAUGUGUAAGUAACUAUGCACGUCUUGACGGCACCUAAUCAGAAAGCCACGGCUAACUACGUG
rnacentral:rRNA from 1 species